rnacentral:rRNA from 1 species
CCUACGGGAGGCAGCAGUGGGGAAUAUUGGACAAUGGGGGGAACCCUGAUCCAGCGAAGCCGCGUGAGUGAUGAAGUAUUUCGGUAUGUAAAGCUCUAUCAGCAGGGAAGAAAAUGACGGUACCUUACUAAGAAGCACCGGCUAACUACGUGCCAGCAGCCGCGGUAAUACGUAGGGGGCAAGCGUUAUCCGGAUUUACUGGGUUUAUAGGGAUCGUAGGCGAUGCAGCAAGCCUGAUGUGAAAGGACAGGGCCCAACCCCGGGACUGCAUUGGAAACUGUUUAACUGGAGUACAGGAGAGGUAAGCGGAAUGCGUAGUGUAGCGGUGAAAUGCGUAGAUAUUAGGCGGAAGACCAGUGGCGAAGGCGGCUUACUGGAGUGUAACUGACGUUGAGGCUCGAAAGCGUGGGGAGCAAACAGGAUUAGAUACCCUAGUAGUC